GAUGAACGCUGGCGGCGUGCCUAAUACAUGCAAGUCGAGCGAACGGGCGGGGAGCUGCCUCGCCGGACGUGGGGGGCGGGCGGGUGAGAAACACGAGGAUGACCUGCCUAUAGGACUGGGACGACGUCGGGAAGCCGGAUACCACACCGGACAAGAUAGUGAACCGGAUGGAUCAACAGUCAAAGCGGGUUUUGCUGGCACGAUUAGAGGGAUCCUAGGCGGAUUAGCUAGUUGGUAAGGUAACGGCUUACCAAGGCGACGAUGCGUAGCCGACCUGAGAGGAUGAUCGGCCACACUGGAACUGAGACACGGUCCAGACUCCUACGGGAGGCAGCAGUAGGGAAUCUUCGACAAUGGGCGAAAGCCUGACGGAGCAACGCCGCGUGAGUGAUGAAGGUCUUCGGAUCGUAAAGCUCUGUUAGUGGGGAAGAACAGGUGUGUGCGUAACUCUCCGCGUCUUGACGGUACCCGAUGAGAAAGCACCGGCUAACUACGUG
rnacentral:rRNA from 1 species